GAUUUCUGUCUUUACAGGUCUGGCCCGCCCUAGCAAUAGUGUGAGUGCUGAUUCUGUUGAGGACAUCCUUGUACAAUUCGCAGGUGGUGGUAUUCUUCUUAACUGAGGGGUGCUAUUAUUUGCUGUACAUCAUUUACUUUGAAUAAAUUAGAGUGUUUCAAGCAGGCUUUUCAGCUAUGAAUACAUUAGCAUGGAAUAAUAAACUAGGACUUCGAAUCUUAUUUUGUUGGUUUCUAAGAUUGAAUGAAUGAUUGAUAGGGAUAGUUGGGGGUGCUAGUAUUCAACGGCCAGAGGUGAAAUUCUUGGAUUCGUUGAAGACUAACUUAUGCGAAAGCAUU
rnacentral:rRNA from 1 species